UCCGUGAAGCUGGAUUCGCUAGUAAUCGCGCAUCAGCCAUGGCGCGGUGAAUACGUUCCCGGGCCUUGUACACACCGCCCGUCAAGCCAUGGGAGCCGGGAGCGCUUGAAGUGCGUCGCCGCGAGGCGCGCCCUAGAGCGAGACCGGUGACUGGGGCUAAGUCGUAACAAGGUAUC
rnacentral:rRNA from 1 species